rnacentral:rRNA from 1 species
AACAAAAACAUGUUCUUAUGAAUAUAAUUUAAGAUUUAACCUGCCCAAUGAUUAAUUAAAUGGCCGCAGUAUUUUGACUGUGCAAAGGUAGCAUAAUCAUUAGUUUUUUAAUUGAAAGCUUGUAUGAAUGGUUGGACGAGAAAAAAUCUGUCUUUUUUUAAUAUAUUGAAUUUAAUUUUUUAGUUAAAAAGCUAAAAUUUUAUUAAAAGACGAGAAGACCCUAUAGAUCUUUAUAUUAGUAAUAAUUUUUUAUUUAUAGAAUUUAAUAUUAUUUUAUUAUUAUUAUUAUUUUAUUGGGGUAAUAGAAAGAUUUAAUUAAUUCUUUUUUAUUUAAAUAUUUUAUAAUAAAAUUUUAAUCCAUUAGUAAUGAAUAAUGAUUAAGUUACCUUAGGGAUAACAGCGUAAUUUUUUUAGAGAGUUCUUAUCAAUAAAAAAGAUUGCGACCUCGAUGUUG